AAUUCAGGAUGACUUCAGAAGAAACUCCCAGAGCCUCCAGUGAUAUCUCUCCAACUCCAACAACUUCCUUAAUCUCUACCAGUGUUUGUGAGGAGCCAUAUUAAAGAAGCUUGGUUAUCAAUUCGGGUUGUUGCUGACUGCUAAGGUAUCUAUCCAAGGCCUCUUGGAAGAACACUGCUGCUGCUGCUGCUGCUGCUGCUGCGUCGCUUCAGUCGUGUCCGACUCUGUGCGACCCCAUACACGGCAGCCCACCAGGCUCCCCCGUCCCUGGGAUUCUCCAGGCAAGAAUACUGGAGUGGGUUGCAAUUUCCUUCUCCAAUGCAUGAAAGUGAAAAGUGAAAGUGAAGUCGCUCAGUCGUGUCCGACUCUUAGCGACCCCAUGGACUGCAGCCCACCAGGCUCCUCCAUCCAUGGGAUUUUCCAGGCAAGAGUACUGGAGUGGGGUGCCAUUGCCUUCUCCGUGGAAGAACACUAUUUCUAUCCAAUUCAACGAUAAUCACCUCCAAGCCUUGCUUAUUUAUCAACAUCUGUUCUUACAAAUUCCCAGGAGGAGCAAAGUAUCUCCUAGCUAAUUUAACUUCUGAACCUCCUCGGCUACUUCCAGUCCUCAAGAAGCCAGUAAUGUGUAUGAGAAUCAUUUGACUUAUCAGAAAGGAAAAUGGAAGUAAGAGAGGACACAACUGCAUUUAAGUGAACUUGGUGGAAACUUACUUCCAGUAAUCCAUCGAAUGAAACAACAACAACAACAACAAAACCCUCAAAGAUGUAAGUGAUUUGCCCACGUUCAACACUUACCAGCAAGAACAAAUUUAGAACAUGAGAAAGAUUUGGUACGUCUUCUGCCUGCAAUUUCAAUGACGCCUGGUUUGUGGUAGUUCAAAGAAAAAAAUGAUAAUUUCUUAUUAUGUUUAACCCCACAACUAAAUUGGAUUACUACCUAUCAUCUUAUCUUUCUCUAAUUGUUGGGUAGUGUCAAAUGUUCUUUCUCUGCUUGUAAAUUAUUUUCUUGACUUCACAGCAUUCUGCAUGUAUUUCUAGUCAAUCCAUUUCUGGACUCACAAAAUUAUAAGCUUGCAAGUUGUUGUCAGAGAAUUAGUAACAAUUUAUUUAAUGUAUUUGGCAUGCUGCUUAUCACAUCAAUAUGUAAAUGUGAUUGCUUAAUAAAUACCACUUAUUGAUGUUGACUUCAUCUGCAACUUCCUUUGCAACUUAAAAAUCGGACUCAAAAUUACCCUAACUUGUGAAUUUUAUUUUCACGAUAAUAUCCAU
ensembl:lncRNA